rnacentral:rRNA from 1 species
GGUCAGGCGGUACUGAGGAGAGAUCAUUAACGAAUAACUAUGGUGUCUUGGCUGUAGCUGGCUCCUCGGAGCAAUGUGCACGCCCGCCAUUUUUAUCUUUCCACCUGUGCACCGACUGUAGGUCUGGAUACCUCUCGCCCUUCACGGGGCGGAUGCGAGGGUUGCCCGUCACACGGCUCCCCUCGAAUUUCCAGGCUCUACGUCUUUUUACACACCCCAAUAGUAUGAUGCAGAAUGUAGUCAAUGGGCUUCUCAGCCUAUAAAACACUAUACAACUUUCAGCAACGGAUCUCUUGGCUCUCGCAUCGAUGAAGAACGCAGCGAAAUGCGAUAAGUAAUGUGAAUUGCAGAAUUCAGUGAAUCAUCGAAUCUUUGAACGCACCUUGCGCUCCUUGGUAUUCCGAGGAGCAUGCCUGUUUGAGUGUCAUUAAAUUCUCAACCUCACCAGUUUUCUGAACUGUUCUUCGAGGCUUGGAUGUGGGGGUUUGUGCAGGCUGCCUCACGGCGGUCCGCUCCCCUGAAAUGCAUUAGCGAGUUCAUACUGAACUUCCGUCUAUUGGUGUGAUAAUUAUCUACGCCGUGGACGAGGAUCAGACUCGCUUCUAACCGUCCGCGAGGACAAUACCUUGACAAUUUGACCUCAAAUCAGGUAGGACUACCCGCUGAACUUAAGCAUAUCAUAAAACCGGGGAGAGAAAAA